rnacentral:rRNA from 1 species
UACGGAGGGUGCGAGCGUUGUCCGGAAUCACUGGGCGUAAAGGGCGCGUAGGCGGCCUGAUAAGUAGGGGGUGAAAUCCUGCGGCUUAACCGCAGGGCUGCCUUCUAAACUGUCAGGCUCGAGCACAGUAGAGGCAGGUGGAAUUCCCGGUGUAGCGGUGGAAUGCGUAGAGAUCGGGAGGAACAUCAGUGGCGAAGGCGGCCCUCUGGUCCAGUACUGACACUCAAGUGCGAAAGCGUGGGGAGCAAACAGG